rfam:Calothrix sp. HK-06 NIES-2101_Scaffold_23, whole genome shotgun sequence.
GGCUGAGUAGCCAAGUGGGAAGGCGCCGAUCUGCAAAAUCGGUUAGCGUGAGUUCGAUUCUCACCUCAGCCU